ensembl:lncRNA
GUUUUCACUAUAUGCAAGAUGUGUUUUCUUUUAUCCUUCCAAGCAAACGUAUGACAUUUGGCCAUCCUCCCUUGUCAAAAAGGCAUUCUGCCACGGCUGGGCCGGGGCUCACACAGUUGUUAAACAGCAGGGAUUAUCAGGCAGGACAGUAUUAAGUGGUAUUUAACAGCAAGACCGAAGUCCUCUGUCAGAUGCCUGACUUAGGGCUCCUUGACUGUGAGCAUCGCAGCUUCUAGACCUUUUGCACGGGACCAUUUUUCAUUCUGACAACAGACUACCGCGGCUGUCCUGGGUUGCCUUUCUGGAGCUGACAGCCGAGUAUUUCUGUGGCAGAAAUAUUGCCAGGGAGUCAGGGGUAGGGGCGGAGGGGAGACGGUUUUACCCCCUUUCAGGCUAAGUGCAGUGGCAUUCCAAGCAGUAGGUGUCCCCCGUCAACGGCCGGUUAAUCUGUUCAGCAUGAUCCCUGUCUAGUCAUAACAAUAGGGGGGUCGGGGCGGGGGUGCAUGUGUGGAAUAUCGGCCCCACGGUGGGAUUGUCUCACGUGCACAUUAGCUUCUCCAUCUCGUCCAGGCGCUUUCUCGUUGACGUAGGCCGGGCAGGGUGAACGCUGAGUCUGUCAACUUAAGUACCGUGCUCUAAAAGGUUUUUUAUUGGGGGGAAGAGGGGGAGCGGGAGGUGUUUGACAGGUCCCCGAAGUUCAAGCUCAGCCGUUUUAUGACCGCAGAAAGACAUCAGUUAUGGAACUUACGAUAUGAUGGGUGCAAAGGCAGGAAAUAAAAGAAAGAACUUAAUGAAAGUUUAAUCUUCUGGGGAAUUGGUGCCCCUCAGAGGCAUAAAUUGAGAGACCUAAAGCUAAAUUUCUCUGUCAAAGGCUGGCAUCUCGCUCAUGCACAUUUUACAGCUAUACUAGAAAUAUAUAUAUAUGUAUAUAUGUUUUAAAACAGCUAUUUCUAUUCUUGAGUACCCACAGUUGCUGAUGGAGGCUGGGAAGUGCUCGCAGUAGAUUUAUUAGGGAGGUUAUUGCUUCUCUGUACAGCAUGCGUUACAGAAGAGUUAUAUGAUCAUGAUUCCUUAUGCAGUUGUCUGGUCCUGAUUCUGGCUCUACAUGGCUGCUAUCUGAUUGGUUGAGAAGCUGGGGGGAAAAAAAAUCCUUGGGAACUGUCACAUUAGGCUUCCAUCUCUUGGAUCCCGGAUGCUGAAUCUGUCUCGUGGUUUUGUAUAAAAACUAUUAACACUGGUUCAUGGGUGAGCUGUGACCUGCAAUCCUUGUUACAUCCGAAGCAUAAUCUAGAAGUCAUGUGGCCAAGCCUGGGCUGACUUCCCCACGUCUCCAGCAACGAAAAGAGGGUUUGUGGUCAGAGGAGUAAGCAGAGAAGAUGACAGAGACACGGAGGAGGGACACAUCGGUAGGAAGAUGCCUUGGUCCCCGUCUCUUUUUCCGGCACCGGCGCCAGUGGAUGGGUGAGGUCCUGCUGGGGCAGUCUUUAUAUCGCGUCCCCCGUCAGGCCCAGCACAUCCGGGCCUUGAUCGGAGAUAACGCGGAACACUCGGCACGUCAUCGGAAGACCUCUUCCGGUUGAUUAGACCUCUUCCGGUUGAUUAGACCUCUUCCGGUUGAUUAGACCGCCUCAGGAACAGGCCGCAAGCGCACUGGCGCGACACACGUGCUGUGUGUCGGUUGCCGCAGGAGCGUUCUGUCUGCCUGGGAAAUAGAACGCGUUUGUGGGGAGGAUAUCAUUGUGCGAUAGAGGCCAGCACCAUCUGUGACGUACGCGAUGAAAACAGUAUAACGCCAACGCGGAAUUGUUGAAAGAGUGACAGCGGUAGUCGCUUUCAAGGUGCUGUUGUGCUGAGUAUUUCCUUGUUGGCGACUUGAUGGGGGCUGCUGUGCAUUGUGGGAUAUUCCGAAGCAUCUCUGGCAUCCAUGCAGUAGAGGCCAGUAGCCGCCACAUCUCCAGGCCUAACGGUCAAACUCACUUCAUCUGGGGAAAUCUGGUCACACUCCCGCUUACCAGGCCUCAGUGGCCAUCCUGAGAGCCCCCGGGUCAGGAGAGCUGCUCUUCUGCCUCGACUGUAGUUUUCUUUGGUGCUGUCUUCUCUGGGCAGAUUCUCAGGCCACCCAAAGCCACAAAAGAAAAGAGCAGAAGAAGGAAACGCUGUGAAACAUGGGCGUGAUCAUACGCACACGUGUCUGUCGGUGUCACACGCAAAGACACACAUGUAGGCAUCACAGUUAUGUAUCCUUACUUUCGUUAGAUCCUGUACAGAAUUUUGAAAGCUGCAAGUCUGGAAAAUUAUGUUUUAAAUCGUUUAUUUGUGCAGUUUUUAAAGUUGAUAGCAUUCUUUUUUAUUUAAAAAAAUUUUUAUUGAGAAAUAAUUGACAAAUAUCACUGUAUGUAUUUAAAGUGUACAGGGUGAUACUCUGAUGCACAUUGUGGAAAGAUUACAAAGAUCAAAAUAAUUAAUAUGUCCAUCACCUUACAUAGUUCUUUUUUUUUUUUUUGCAUUUUUUGUUGGUAUUCUUUUAUUUGUAGAAGUUUAAAUUCAUCAUUGAGGAAAUAUACGCCUUGGUGUUCAGAAAAGAUGCUAUAAAGACAUUUUUGAAUAAGUCCUGGUAAAGCCAUAGUUAUGCUCAGAGGGAGAGACUGGAAGCAAUUUGAAGUUAAACUUUCUCUGAUACUAUAAACUUCAUCUUUCUUGGAGGAGAACUUAAAACUCUGCGGGCAGGUCAUUUUAGGAACUUCUGUGUCUUUCCCGGAGAAGAGGCAAGGUGGAGGGUGCCUCCUUUUGAGGUGAACCUUUUGACAGGGCUCUGGUUCAGAAGAGCAGCUGUCAAAGUGGGGGCCUCAGAGCAACAUCUUUACAUCAUCUGGAAACUUGUUAGAAUCUCAGGAUCUUGGGCCUCCGUCCAGCAUUUUCAGAUGUCCAAGGAUGAGCACGCACAGUGGAGUUUCAGAAGACCUGCACAGAGGAUCUUCUGUGUGCUAGAGACUGGCCUAUGGAGUCCAGCAACUGUCUUAGCUAGGAUCAUGUUAAGAUUUUUUUUUCUUUUGAUUUUACUUUGUUUAUAUGUUUUCUGUGUUCUGAUACUUCUUAUGCCUUCAGCUCAGUGGGGAGUUAAGGGCUGGACAAGUGGGUUGGUGGGGGGUUGUCCAUGAUUGAAAAAAGAGGUGCUUUUAGUGAACAUUGUUGGUUCUGUUGUAACAUCCAUUUUCACCUUCUAACAGUUCCCAGACUCGUCUUUGUUUACUUCUCCUCAACAUAGUUAAUGCAUUCUGGAUGAAACAGCCUAUCCCAGCUUUAGGGACGCGGUCUCAUUGGCUCAGCCUAUCAGGAUAUAUUAUUACUUCACCAUAUCUAUUGGUUUAAAGUUGGGUAUUAUCUUAGUCAGUCUGGGCUUCUAUAACAAAAUACCAUAGACUGGGUGGCUUAAAAAACAACAUAAAUUAAUUUAUCACAGUGCCAGAGGGCAGCAAGUCCGAGAUCAAGACAGCAGCAUGUUUGAUAUCUGGUGAGAGCACACUUUCUGGCUCACUGAUAGUCUUCUUGCUGUGUCUUCACAUGGCAGAAGUUGAGGGGAGCUCUCCAGGGUGUCUUCUGUAAGGGCACUAAUCCCAUUCAUGAGGGCCCCACCCUCAUGACCGCAUCACCCUCAAAGGCACCACCUCCAAAUACUGUUACAGUGGGGAUUAGGUUUCCACAUAUGAGUUCUGUGGGGACACGUGCAUUCAUUCUGUAGCAGGCAUGUGACUUAAGGCAAGCCAUCAGGUCAAAUCUUUGCACUGUUCUUUGGAAUGCUGGGUCACACACUCUUUUUCCUUUUUAAAAAGAAUGAGGAGACAUGUGGUAUUGUUACUGGCUGACUUGCAUGACCGCAGUGUCAAGGGGAGUGGGCAGGGAGGAGAGUCAGACUUAGGAGGAAUCUGACGCCCUGAGGUCAGAGGAAGACAGAAGAAAUAUGAACUUGAUUCUGGUUCAUCAGUCCUGAAACCCUCCUCGACAUGGACUUCCUGGUACGGAAGCCAAUAAAUCCCCUUUGCUGUGUUUGAGGUGAAUUUCCUGUGACUUGCAGCACGAGGAGUCUUAAGAGAUACAGUUUUAUUGCAGGAGUGGCAUUACCAUGAUCAGGGCCAUGCUUGAAAUUCUAAGAGGCAACCGAAAAAGUGCACACCAGCCGCCUGACUCCAGGGAGCCGGACGACAGAUUUGUGGGCUGCAUAAGCAUUUCUCAGAGAGAUUAUCAAGAACUUUUGGGGAGGGCCACUCAGUAAAA